AUGACAGAUUUGGCUCACCAUCAUUUCACGAAUGUCUUCGGCACCAAGCGGUGCCCUUCUUCUGCUUUGCUUUGGGUUGAGUUGGAUCGGGACCAUGCCGACCUCUCUGAUCUUGAGGGGAGCUUCCCGUUGGAGGAGGUCAAGCAAGCCAUUGACGACAUACCUUCGGAGAAGGCUCCCGGGCAGGAUGGAUUUUUGAAUGGCUUCUACAGAUGUUGUUGGGAUACUAUCAAGGGCGACGUGAUGGACGCCUUACAUCAGCUGCACCAACUUGAUUGCAGAGGUCUCGCGCGCAUUAACAAGGCUUACAUUGUCCUCAUUCCUAAGAUGCAUGGCGCUGCUAAUAUCAAAGACUUUAGACCGAUCUCUCUGAUUCAUAGUCUUGUCAAGUUGUUCACUAAACUGCUCGCGAGGCGCCUCGCGCCCAAGCUAGCGGAGCUUGUCCAUCCUUGCCAAAGCGCUUUUAUUAAAAAGCAAAGCAUCCAGGAAAAUUUUCUUUACGUUCAGAACACCAUCAAAUACCUGCACAAGACUAAGAAGCCUUCUGUGUUGCUCAAGUUAGAUAUUGCUAAGGCCUUCGACUCGAUUCCCUGGACAUAUAUCCUUGACAUGCUCCAAGCAAGAGGUUUUGGUGCCCGUUGGCGGGACUGGAUCGCCAUGCUCUUACGCACCUCCUCUUCAAGGAUACUUAUUAAUGGCCAACAAUCGGAGGAUGUUUUGCAC
rnacentral:rRNA from 1 species